CCGGCUGCGAGGCGCGCCGCCGCCGCCCUUUCCCGAGCCCACAGACACCCCCAGCUGCACCCCGGGCCAUUCCCUGCGCGCCCCCACCCUGCAACGCCCUCAGGAGCAAAACACGGAGGUGGACAGCACCUAAUAAAAGUUUUAAAACAGAGAAGACCUGGGAGACCAAGAUGGUCAAAAAGUAAUCAGGAGACAAAGCGCCUCUUGGAGAGUCACCAUCUAGACACUGGAAUAUAGUAAAGUGAGGAAGACAAGAAGAAGGAAAGUGAGUCAUCUGGAAACAGGAAGAAUCUGAAGCAUGAAUUUAAGCCAAUGGAGAUAUUGAAGAGAACUUCAAUAAGUAAGAAAAAGAUAGCUGGUGACAUUUCACCCUGAGACGUAACUCACUGCACAAGAGGAGUGGUUCAAGCAUGCAGACACAUGCUGAUAUGCUGGUGACCCCAGCGGCCUUCAGAGAGAGAUGCAGCAGGGGAGGGGACAGUGGACCUGAAGGACUGCACUGGCUGGCAAUGCGUGCGGAGGGCUCAGUCCUCCCACAGAAGAGAGCAAUUGGCCCAGAGCCAUCUUUGACAUGGACCAGCUGAGAUCAAUUUCGAAACUGCUGGUGUUUCUAUCUAGUGGCUUCCAGCUGGGCUAGACCCUCAGAAUAUGCUUGGACAGCAGCAUGUGGAAUGAAUCUCAUUUUAACCAGAAAGUGCAGGUUUAAUGAGAUUAUCUACUGCCUCACCAAUAAACUGCUGCUGGCUUGCUGGAAGAUUGUCAUGGAAACUUGAAAGUGGAUUUUUUUCUUUCCUCUUUCUUGUUUGUGUUUUGUUGUGGUGAGAUUGUUUCUGUUUUCUGAUUUUUGUUUUAAUUUUAUUGAAAUUAAAUUAAAUUUUAUUUUUAUUGUUUGAUCUUGUUUUUAUGAGUAGGGAUGUGUUUAUGGUUAUGGUUCUGUUCUGUUGUUUUUAACUCUUUUUUCUCAUUCUUUCCAGUAUUCUGCACCAGUUUGCCAAAGUUAGUGUGAUCCCCUUUAUCCUCCACCCUUACUUGUAAUCUCUUCCUUUUUUCCACUUCUCCAUUUUUCCUUAAUCCAUAAUAAAAAUUAACCAUGAGGACAAAAUUGACAUAUUAAGGACUUGUAUACGGCAUGUAAUUUUCUGGGUUGUUCAAAUUUUGUUAUGUAACCAAAAAAUCUAUUUUAUAUUGUUAAAAGUAGCAAAUAAUGGUUUGCUCAGUUUGUCAUUUUCUACACUGUGUGUGAUGCUAUUGGUACCAUUAUAGCCCAAAGUGACAUAAUUGUUAUAAACAACUGGUCCUCCUGGUAUUCUAUGACUUAGACUGAAUAAGUAUCAUAGAAAAUACUUUGACAGAGUGCCAAAGAAGCAACAACUUCUCAUUGCCAACAAAUUCAAGAGGUACAAUCUCUCAAUAGACUCAAAACUCCAAAACCAGCUAUACUGGAAGAUACCCCAGAAAAGUAGCCAUUUAGUAAAUGUCUUCAAUACUAGCAAUAAAGCACCAUACUGUAGAUAAUUUACAAGCAUUAUUCCAGAAAUUAAACUAAGGAAAGAAAAUAAGAAGAUACUUAAACAAGAUGCAACCACAUACAUUGAGUUCCCCAAAGACAAAGCCAGGGGCAAUGAUGUGGGAAAGUCUGAAAGCCCAUCAGUGAUCUCUCUGAAGUGGUUACAGAAGAGCAAUUGAAUUAGGCUCUGGAAAAAAAUCAAACCAGAAAUGGUUUCUCAGGUAACUGCAGAGAUGGUGUCCACAAUAAAGAUGGUGCUUAGUGAUUCUAGAAUAGAUACAGAUUAAAAAUAGAUGAGCCUAAGAAAAUUAUGGAAUUCAUGAAUGAACAGCAUAGGAAAGAAGUGAAAUUCAUAAAGUAGAUUAAAGCAUAUAUUCAGGAAAAUAAAAAUUCUAUUGAAAGUACACACAGCAAAUUAAGCCAAUGUGAGGGCAGGGUCUAAGAUAGAAGACAGGCUUGUUGUUUCAUAAAUAUCAAAUAACAACAAAGGAAGCUAGCGGCUACUAGAUGAGACAAAAAUAAUUUAAUAUUGAUUGGAGUCUACGAAAAAAGCAGGAGGUAACACAAAUAAUUUUUAAGAAACUGCUCACAGACAUCUUGGCAGAAAACUUUGUGGAUAAAGAAAAAAAUUGAACAUGCAGAUAAUUGAGAUAGUAGGAACUCCAGUUAAUUAUGAUAGAAAACAAUCUAAAGUAAGGCAUAUUAUAGUCAAGAAUCCAAAAAUUCAACACAAAAUAGAAUCUAAAAACCUGUUAGGGAUUAGAAAAAUAGCCUAUAAAGGAAAGCAUCACAAUAACAGCUGACUGCUCAACACAAACCUUCAAGUCAAGGGAAGCUUGGAGUGAAGUACAUAAAGUUCUAAAGGAAAACAACCUUCAACCCAGACUGAUAUGCCCUGAAAAACUGUCUUUCAACACUGAUGCGGAAGUAACACACUUCCUUGAUAAAGAAUAUCUGAGGAAAUUUAUAAUCACCAAAUCAGCUCUCAAAAAUAUUUUGAAAGUCAUUCUAAAAAGAAAUAAAAUGUACUACAACUCUAUGAACCCAAACUGAAUGAACCCAGCAGACAAACAGAGAGUGGGAAAAAGGGGAGCCAACAACAGGAAAAUAACAUGUUAUUAUAAGGGAUAAGUCAAUACAUAUCAGUUCUAUCCAUCAAUGUUAAUGAUCUCAAUUCACCAAUCAAAAGACACAAACUAGCAGAAUGGAUCAAGAUGCAAGAUCCAACAAUAUGAUGCAUACAAGAAACACAUUUAACUAAAACUGUAGAUUCAUAGAUGAAAUUCAAAGUAUAGAAAACAGUACGCCAUGUAACAGGAACCCAGAAAAAAGCAAAGGCACCUAUUGAGUUUUCAGACAGACAGAAUUUCAAGCCAAGACUGAUUAAGAGAGAUAAGUUCAAUAUAUCAUCAUAAAGGCAACAAUCCAAGAGGCAGAGAUAAAAAUCAUAAAUAUAUAUGCAACAAAUAUAUAACCUGUAUACACAAUAAUAUAAAAGAAAUAAUCUGAAAAAUCAAAUAAGGCUUAAUACAAUUGUGUUGGGGUAUUUCAGCAAACCACUCUCACAGAUCAAGUAGACCAGAAAAAAAUCUGAACCAAAGGUUUGAACAAAUGGACUUAGUAGAUGUCUGCAGAAUGUUCGACCUCUUAGCAUCAGAAUACAUAUUCUACUCAACUGCACAUGGGACAUUCUCCAAAAUAUACCAUAUACUUGCCCAUAGAUCAACCUUAAGUAAAUGCAAAGGAACCAAACUUAUCCCAUUCCUUGCAUAUUAUCAGACAAUAGUGUAAAGAAAUUGGAAAUCCAUGACAAAAGAAACCAUAAGAACUUCACAAACACAUGGAAAUUAACUGGUACUAAUCUGAACAACCAAGGGGUAACAGAUAAAAUUUAAAAAGGAAUUAGACAGUUUUUACAGUUGAAUGUUAACAAGAGUACAACAUAUAAGAGUUUAUGGGACAGGAUGAAAGCAGUCUUAAGAACGAAAUUUAUAGCAGUAAAUACUCAUACCAGGAAAACAGACCAAGUACACAGAAACAAUUUAAUGGUGAAACUCAAACUUCUAGAAAAAGAUCAGACUAAGCCAGAAGCUUGUAUAGGGAAGGAAAUUAUAAACAGCAGAGCAGAAAUUAUCACAUUGGAGAUUACAAAAUGAUACAAAUGACCACUGCAUCAAAGAGUUGGACACUGUGAAUUUAGGCAUGAAUGAGAACUCCACACUGUCCCCAGUCACCACAGAUUUAUAAAACCAUAAACUUCAAAUCACCAUAAGUGUUAUACAACUAAAAUUUUAACAGCUAAAAUUGUAUGGAGGGGCAUAUCCAUAAUCUGAGCAUUUGGAAGACUGAGACAAGAGGAUCACUGUAACUUCAAAGCCAAACUAAAAUACAGAAAGAUUCAACUAACAAAGAUAUUGUUACAAGCCACAAAUAAUGCCACUGUGAGCAAAAAUAGCAGCAAAAAUUAAUAUACCUAUAUAUGAAUAUAUGUGUAUUUAUACAUAUGUGUGAACAUUGACAUAUAAAUUGGAUAAUUUGGACAUACUGAUGUACAUAUCAAUUUUUGCUGAUCUACAUAAUUAUACCAUAAAAGUAUUGAAUCCAGAGAAUGAGCAACCAAAAUGUGCUGUCCCAGCAACCCCCCAUGAUGGUAAAAUACAUAAAAAAUUAGAGACAAAGUUUAAUGAAAGAUACUUUAUUUUUGAAGAGGGAAUGAGUAGAUGGAGAAGACAGAUAAGUACUUUGAUAAGAAACAUUCAGAGCGGGGGCUCCAAAAAAUGGGGGAAUCAUCACUCCUUUGUUCCUGGAUGCUUGUAUUGGGUGGAGACACCACCAUACACAGAAAUUCCUAUACCUGGAUAGGCUUCUGGACACCUCUGCAUAAUGGCACUUUUCAUCUUCUUUGUUUCUACUUGAUUGUCUCUGACCUUUAGGACUUUAUUUUUGGAGUGGACCACUAUUUGACAAAGAGAUACCUUAUUCAUCAUUAACAUACAAUUAGUAAGAGGGAGUAUGGAUGUCUAUUGUAGUCUAUAAUGAUGAAAUUUAUAUAGUGACCUAGACUGGAUAUGAAUAUAGUGAUCCUAGAGUGAAUGCAUAUGUAUAUGGAAAGUGUGAAUAUAUUUUGUCUUAAACUUACUCACUGCCCCUCCCCCAUUUGCUUCACCUAUAUUCUAUUGGAGAGAGGGGCAGCUUACCAUUUGUGUACUUGGCUUUCUCUCUGUGUCCUGCCUGUCAGCUCUUUCUCCACUUCCUUGGUGCAAGUCCUAAGGACAUUUGGUGUCUUUUUUUAAUCCUUUUUUUCUCUCUUACUCUACCUUUUAUCUACAAAUUACCCAGGGGAAUUUGAGAUUUUAUGGAUAAAUCAAUGCAACUUGAGACCAUAUUCAUAAGGAAAAUAAGUCAGACUUUCUGUGUAAGCAUCAUAUUGUCUCACUAGUAUGAAAUACUGAAAGAGUAAAUGCCUGAUAGAUACUGUGAAAGUGAAAUGGGAAGAAACUGCUGAAAAAUGAAGAGUGUGGGCUUUCAUUGUUUAUCAUUUUUUUAUGCCCCAGUCUUGUAAUCUGAGCAACUACUUUAAUGAUAAAUACAUAUAUGUAUUAGCCACUGUUAAUCUCUGAUUAUUUUCAUUUGAAAUACUGUAUCAUCAUUUUUAUUCUUUUUUCAUUUUUAAAAAGAUUAGUUAGAAGACAUAAUGAAGUACCUAUUCUAUUUAUCUACAGAACUGUGACCCUACAGAACACUGUGACCUAGAUCUAGAAAUAAUGACAAUCUAAUGUGUUAUUAAAUUGGGAUAUGAAUGAAUCUAAAGUCUGUAUAUGAAGAAACAUGUUAGAGCAAAGUUUAGUAAGGCAGAGGAAUCAAAGUAUAAGCAGAAUGGAGGAUAUAUUAGCUAGAAUUCUGUACAAAAAAGUAAUUUUUAAGGUGAGGGAAUCAGUGGUAUCACAAGAAAAAAUGUGGAAUUUCACUAUGGUAGUAUAAAUGGCCUCAAUAUUUGGCUUUAUGUCUAAUAUUAGUCGUGAGAGAAAAAUGGCAAAAGGAAACCUGUAGCAUGAUCACACAUUAUACUUAGAGAAUCUGAAGAGCAAGGAAACCCAACAUUCAAAGUUUUUUUGUUUUUCCCAGCCCCAAGCUGGAUAGUACUUCAUUACAUCAGAGUUAACAAUUUGUACUUUGGUAAAAUCAAUUUAAAGCCCCUCAUGUGAACAAUAAUGUUUGGAUGUUAAUCUUUUUAGUUUUGUUUACACUUAGGGAAGAUGAAAAUUUCCUACGCUGCUCCUGAUUCCAAUGUUCAUCCAUUAUUUAACUUCAUCACUAGUUUUCUGAAUUAGCGAGGCUUUUUACAUUGCACAGAACAAAUCAAGACAGCUUUAAAGAAGGUGAAUACAAAUCAGGGACAAAAAAAGCUAGCACAUCUCUUUUCUUUACUUGAACACCAAUUUAAAAACAACUUUUACUCUAAGCCUUGACCUCAAUGUUUUAGUAACCAUCUUAUUCUUGAGUAUUCAAAGCUUAGAUGAUAUUUCUCUAACACAUACGAGUUGAAUAAUUCCAAGAUAUGAAACUCACCAUUUCCUCUCUCCAAAAAAGUAGAAUGAAAGAACUGUUUAUGACCAGCAGUAAUACAGUGCUUUUUUUUUUUUUACUCAAAAACAAAUUUGCAGCCACAGAAACAUAAAUGUGAUAUGAGUCCAAACAACACAGUGUUAUUAUUUGGAUAAAUUUGCCAUACUCAUGUCAUUUGGAACAAUGUAGUUUAUUGAUCAAUAUAUAAAUAAUGCAAGAACACAAACUGUAAAGUGUUUUACUUCUUUUCAGCUUUAAAGUUUCUUGUAUGACAUAAUAUAUUAAAACUGUUUAUGAGUGAAUGAUGCAAAUGUUUUCAGAACAUACUAAGACACACACACUUAAGUCAUUAAUAUUAUAGAACUAUAACCACAAAAAUCUGUGAAAAAUACUGAAAAUGUGCAUUUUUAUGUUUUAUUUUAGAUAAAAGAGAGUAGAUAUUAAUAUGAGACCUAAGCAUUUCUCUUGAACAUUUUUCUCAGUGAAUCUAUGAGUGGUCUAUUUCUCAAACUGUAAUAAAAUGGAUUUAAUGCAGAAUUUCUGAUGUUGAAAAACAGACAAAGAUCAUAUCCUGAUCAUCUACUUGUGAAGAUGCUGUGCACAUACAUGAAGAGAAGGGGGCCAUAGUAUAAAGACACAGACAAGAGAUGAGUUCUGCAGGUGGCGAAGGGUUUCCUUAUGCCUUUGAGAGACUUCUUGUUUAAAACAGUGAAUAGAAUAAGUGUAUAAGAAAUAAGAACAAUCAAAAUUCUGAGUACCUGAAAUGAAUCAAAGAAAAUAAAAACCAGUAGAUAAUUAAGAGCAGGAUCUGUACAAUAAAUCUUAAACAAUGGUAUAACCUAACAAUAAAAGUCAUGUAUGAGGUGGGAAUUACAGAAUGUUAAUCUGAAUAAAAAAACUAUUAUGAAUUAAGGCAUUAAGAAGCCACCUACAAAUGAUAAAACUAAUAGAUUGAUGCAUAAUCUAUUGGUCACAAUGAAUGGGUAAAGCAAAGGAUUGUAUGCAAUUACAUAGUGAUCAUAAACCACUGCCGCUAGGAGAAAACAUUCUGUGGUUGCACUAACUAUAAAGGAGAGAGAUUGUAUGUUUGAAUGUCCACUUUAUAUGCUUUAAUUUUGCAAUGUGAACAAAUAUUUCUAAGAUGACAAUAUGUAAUCCAUUAACUAGUGAUAUCCUACUGUUUAUUUUUUUCUGAAAUUCUGUAAACUUGUACCCUUUUUCUGCUUUUUUUUUCUUUUUCUCCUUAAAUAAAAUUAAAAAAAAAACUUUUCCCUACACAAUCCUUUUUGUCAUUCCCAGGCGCAUUCCCUCGAGAAAUGACAGUAUUAAAAGGUCUUCAGCUCCUUUGGUAAAUGUUCUGUCCUUUUAUAUGUGGUUCAUUUCUAUGCUUAGGAUGUGCUGAAAUAUAUUUCUGAUUCUGAUUAUAGGCUGGAAUGAUACUGAAGUAGUCUUGUGAAAAUAUACAUCAUACAAUUCAUCUGUCUCAAGGGAAGUCAUUAUACAGUCUCCCAGAAAUAAGAAACUCAUCUCACCCUGAAAUAUGAAUGUGGCACAAAUGCUAGUCUUGAGGGUUCAGGCACCUUGCAGAAGGAUCAGGAGGGGGAUUAUAAUUAUCAGGUUAUCUAUAGACAUUUACCCAGUCUGGGUACAGUGUGGCUAGUGUCCUCAAAAAAGACAUGCCUAUCUAGAACUUCAGAAUGUGUUUUUCCUUAUUUGAAAUUAGUAUUUGUGCAGAUAAAAUUAUGAAACUUGAGAUUAAAUCAUCCUGGAUUUAUUAGGCUUAUUUAAGUCCAAUGACUACUGUUCUUAUAUGAAGAAGAAAGGACACAGAGAAGAUAUAAAAGUGGAGAUUGAAGUUAAAGUGUACCAAGACAUAUAAUAUCUGAGUUGAAAGAGGCAAGAGAAGAUUGUCCAAGUCUUCAGAGGGAGCAUGGUCUAAACAACAACUUGAUUACAAACUUCUGGUUUCCAGAAUUAUGAAGUUAAAUUUUUAUUGUUUUAAGUCACCCAGUUUCUGGGAAUUUGUUAUGGCACCCUAAAAAAUAUACCAGAUAUUAUGGUCAUAUUCUUCAUUAGGGCUCUGACUAUAACAAUGAUGCUUAUAAAAGCCUAUGUAUUUGGACUCUAUAAAUAGAUACUGGACCUAGAGCUAAAGGAAAUAAUAGGUACUUUAGAGCUAUCUCACAGGGCUUUAGGGUGAGAUAAAUCAGUAAUUAACUUCUAGUAUGACUUCAACAGAAUAAAGAACUUCUAACAAUGCCAACAGUCUAAUCCUCAGAAUAUUCAAAUAUAAUCCAAAUGGGCUGUAGGUGUAGAGUGUGUGCUUAUUAUGAAAACAGCUCUAGAUUUGAUCCUUAGCACCAUACAUACAAAAAUUUCUUUAUAUGACAAUGAUAUUUCAAAUAUAUUUAAGGAUUAGAGGUUGAUGUCUUUACAUUAGGAUUAUCCUGGCUUACCCAAGUGGAUAAAAACUAAUCACCUGAGUCCUUCAGAGUGGAGAAUGUUUCCCACACGUUGUCAGACAGGAUGCAGUAAUGGACAGAAAAUCAGAAAGAAGCUACACUGUUGGCUUUCAAGCUGGAGAAAGUGAGCUAUAACCCAAGGAAAUGUGUGCAGAUUCUGAAAAGGCAGGAAAUCAGAUUCUUUUCUGGAGUACCUAAAGAAAUACUAAAUUCCCAAUACCUUGUGAUUAUAGUCCAGUGAGACCUGUGUUGAACUUCUGGCCUACAAAAUUGUAAUGUAAAAAAUUACUGUUUUCAGCAAUGACAUUGUAAUCAUUUAUAUCAGUAAUAAAAAAUGCAAAUACCAUCAAAUGAA